rnacentral:lncRNA from 1 species
ACAAACAAACAAGCCAUAAGGACAACACAUCAAUUUCAUGUACAGGUUAUGUCCGGAUGGUAAUGAAGGUUUGGCCUCUUCUUCUAGGUAGAAGCACUGAAGGGAUACAUGGAAGAUAUUGUAAGCAGCGUCUGCCUGCCAAAUGUCAACAAGAUAAUGGCUGACAAUAAGAUGGUUCUCCCCAACAUGAUGGGGGCGACCUAUUCUGAGUGUGAAACGUCCAUCACGAGCGUCAAGGAUGCUCUGGCCUUCGAUGUGACUCCCAAGGAUUUGCCUAUGGACCUUGUUGCUCUGGCAGACAAAUUCAGCCAUAUCCAGAAAAAACACCACUAUUGAGACAGGGAAGCAAGAGGCCACGCUCGGUGCACCUGCCCCUCAGCUUUGCUGCUCAAACACUGGAAUCCUGCCCAAACUAAGGAAAAAAAACAGCACCUGCACCAGGCUAGAAGCCGGGGUCUGCCUCACAGGGGCCCUGAACACCACUUGAGCUUUCCUUACUUACCUGAGAAAAGGGGGCCCCUCGGGGUCCCUUCAAUCGUUACCGCCUGGCAACAGAUUUGGCUGUUU